rnacentral:ncRNA from 1 species
AUACAGGAGAGACCGCAUGUGAACGCGGCGCCGAAGGGGAAGGUGCAGAAAACUCUCAGGCAGAGGGACUGUAUC